CCAACUUGAAUGCUUCCUGAUUAAAUAUAUACAGGAGUGAUUUCAGAGGAAUUUAAGUUUUGGAUCAUCCUUUUGAGAAAGAAAAAAAAGUACCCUUUUAAAAGAGGUGACUCUUGAACAACACAGGUUUGAACUGCAUCAUUCCACUUAUACACAGACUUUCUUCUGCCACUGCCACUCCUGAGACAACAUGACCAAUCUCUCCCUUUCCUCCUCCUCAGCGUACUUUCAACAUAAAGACGACGAGGAUAAAGGCAUUUAUGAUGAACUACUUCCACAUAAUGAAUAAUUGAACAAAGGAGAGAAUUGUGAGAGUGAGAAAAAGUAAGUGAGACAAAGAAGAAAAACUAUAAAUCAGCAAAAUCCAGUGCCAAGAGCUCUGGACCACAAAUCAGAAGACCUGAGCCCUAAUUCCUUUCCAGUCAUUGGAUUUGUUCAUCGCUUGCCAAAACAGCAGCGAACUCUGUCAAACUGCAGCUCAUUUUAUCGGAGCAAAAACUGAACAAAGAACUGCUAUCAUGUCUGAGGUCAGAGGCAGUGCAGCUUGUGUUACAACUCAAAGAGUAAUACUUUGAAAAAAGAAAAAAAAGAUGGCGCUGAAAAUAAACAUGUUCAGCAGCCAUUGUGAUUCAACUUACCCAGAUGUGCUUUUCAUGAGAUGGAGAAGGACGGAUGGAAAAGAAAAGCACACAAAUGUUAAUGGAUACAGUUCAAUCCAAAGAAAACCAUGGAAUAAAACAAGAGCAUUAUUUAAGAUGUGA
rnacentral:lncRNA from 1 species